rnacentral:rRNA from 1 species
UACGUAGGGUGCAAGCGUUAAUCGGAAUUACUGGGCGUAAAGGGCGCGUAGGCGGCCUGCUAAGUCGAACGUGAAAUCCCUGGGCUCAACCCAGGAACUGCGUCCGAUACUGGUUGGCUUGAAUCCGGGAGAGGGAUGUGGAAUUCCAGGUGUAGCGGUGAAAUGCGUAGAUAUCUGGAGGAACACCGGUGGCGAAGGCGACAUCCUGGACCGGCAUUGACGCUGAGGCGCGAAAGCCAGGGGAGCAAACGGG